rnacentral:lncRNA from 10 species
UGGAGGGUGUGUCUGCCUUUCCCAGUCCACUGACUCAAAUGUUAAUCUCCUUUGCCAACACCCUCACGGUCACACCCAGGAACAAUACUUUGCGUCCUUCAAUCCAAUAUUAACCAUCACAGGCAUGAUCCUGUGAGUGUUAGGGAGGAUUGAAAGCAGGGGAGCAGAACACUUGUAACUGGUGGGCAUUCUGACAGCAGUGAGGAGGGGCUGUGACCAGAAGCAGGAAGCCUAGUCAGGGAAGGUGUAGCAGACCAGGUAGGUGAGGACCUGAACAAACACUCUGAUAAUGAUGGAGCAACCGAAAGGAUUGGAACAGGAAGAAUCAACAGAAUUUGGUGAUUGAAUGGAGAGAUUUCCAGGUUUCUGACUUGACCUGCUAGACAGAUGAUGAUGCUACCCUCAGGAUGAGAAUAUGGGAGGAGGGGAAAGUUCUGGAGGAAAGUAUUCAGUUGAGGGUAUGAUGAAUUUAAGAUGUGAUUUCCUUAGGUAAUACAACUAGGUCGAGUUCUUGAUUACAAUUAAGUUAUAUAACUCACUCAUGAGUUGUUUUUCAUUAACACCAUCAAGGGAGUAAUGGAGCUCUAUGUUUAACAACCAAAGCUGGGGAGAACAAUCUGCUAAAAGUAGACAUAUGCAAUCUCAGAAGCAGUGACUGCAAUAAUAUCUUAACACAUGAUCCAGUUAAAUUUAUGUCCUAGCUAUAAAUAUGUAUGAAAGUGUAUGCUUGAAGAUGAAGUAACUAAUGAAUGCUAAACGUAUUGCACCUUAACUUGCCUUCAGCAUAACGUCAAAUGAUUGCAAGUCACGGUGGCUGGAG